rnacentral:rRNA from 1 species
GUCGGGAAAGAUUUAUUGCUAAAGGAUUGGGCUAUACGGUAUCAGCUUGUUGGUGAGGUAAUGGCUCACCAAGGCUAUGACGCCUAUCUGGUCUGANAGGAUGAUCANACACACUGGAACUGAGACACGGUCCANACUCCUACGGGAGGCAGCAGUGGGGAAUAUUACACAAUGGAGGAAACUCUGAUGUAGCAACGCCGCGUGGAGGAUGACACAUUUCGGUGCGUAAACUCCUUUUAUUAUGGAANAUAAUGACGGUACCUAAUGAAUAAGCACCGGCUAACUCCGUGCCAGCAGCCGCGGUAAUACGUGAGGGUGCAAGCGUUACUCGGAAUCACUGGGCGUAAAGCGCGCGUANGCGGUUUAUUAAGUUGGAUGUGAAAUCCACUGGCUCAACCAGUGAACUGCAUCCAAAACUGAUAGACUAGANUCUGGAAGGGGAAGAUGGAAUUANUGGUGUAGGGGUAAAAUCCGUAGAGAUCACUAGGAAUACCAAAAGCGAAGGCGAUCUUCUGGAACAGUACUGACGCUGWGGCGCGAAAGCGUGGGUAGCAAACAGGAUUAGAUACCCUGGUAGUCCACGCCCUAAACGAUGAAUGUUACUCGUCGGUUAGCUAGUCUAAUCGGUGAUGCACUUAACAGAUUAAACAUUCCGCCUGGGGAGUACGGUCGCAAGAUUAAAACUCAAAGGAAUAGACGGGGACCCGCACAAGUGGUGGAGCAUGUGGUUUAAUUCGAAGAUACGCGAAGAACCUUACCUGGCCUUGACAUUGAUAGAAUCCUGUAGAGAUAUGGGAGUGCCCUUCGGGGAGCUUGAAAACAGGUGCUGCACGGCUGUCGUCAGCUCGUGUCGUGAGAUGUUGGGUUAAGUCCCGCAACGAGCGCAACCCUCGUGAUUAGUUACUAACGGUUCGGCCGAGGACUCUAAUCAGACUGCCUUCGUAAGAAGGAGGAAGGUGAGGACGACGUCAAGUCAUCAUGGCCCUUACGGCCAGGGCGACACACGUGCUACAAUGGGUAGGACAAUGAGACGCAAUACCGCGAGGUGGAGCAAAUCUAUAAACCUACUCUCAGUUCGGAUUGUUCUCUGCAACUCGAGAGCAUGAAGCUGGAAUCACUAGUAAUCGUAGAUCAGCCAUGCUACGGUGAAUACGUUCCCGGGUCUUGUACUCACCGCCCGUCACACCAUGGGAGUUGAUUUCACCCGAAGCGGGGAAGCUAAAUUGGCUACCCUCCACGGUGGAAUCAGCGACUGGGGUGAAGUGGUAACAAGGUAACC